GCAGGGACCGCCAGCAACACUUCGCUGGAAACGCGGGACGCAGGUUUACAGAAGACUUGUGUUUUCCUUGACCGAGUUCAGAAGUGCCAGGACAUGCAGAACUAGACCUGCAGGGCCUACGUCUCCUUCAACCGUAGUGAUUUGAGUCUCUGGAAGCAUCUCCAAAUGAGGUUGACGGUGGCCUCUCGGGCACCAGCGGGGAACGAGGCGGCCGCAGAACAGUGUCCCCGCGGAUUCGUUUCCUCUUUGUUUUUAAGGUACAAAAGGAGGAUCGAUGAUUCGGUUUCCUGAUGGAGUAAGGACUGCCAGCAGGAAAGUGAUAGAUGAGAAUGCACGCGAGCGUAUCCUAUGACGCGUUAAAACAUAUGCAACUUAUUUUGGCAAUAUUGUCUUCCGUUGUUGUGGCCCGUUUCCCAUCACACCUGCAAGCUCCUUGAAAUCAGAAGCACGAGUCUCAGAGUUGAUGGAAUCGCCCCAGAGUGACUAACGUUGCCUUGUAAUUUGAAAGUGUAUGUGGCUUGUUGACGCUUCAGAACAUGUCAGUCCUUUCUUCCGGCUAAGUCUCUCGUAGGUGUGGAAGAGACACAUUGCAAAAAAAAAAAGGCAACGUCUACUCAGGCAACUCAAAGGCUCUGUCGUGAACAGAUCGCCUGACCUUGAAGGAGCAUGGGAAGUCCACCGUCCUGAGUCAGACUUGCUGGUUUCCACUCGUUUUGUCUCCAUGCUUUCCUGGGGCAUCCAGCACCUGCCCUCUGCCUGCCACAGCCUCCACUGCCGGUGAAUAUCCUAAAAACACUGAGUUGGACCCUUUAAAAGGUGCAUUUUAUGGUUUUCUUGGAUGAGCACGGCCGCCUCAAGUUCCCGUCAGGAAAGAGACUGCCCUCCUGGUUGAUUCUGUGUCUGGACUGAGUUCUGGUUCUUCCUUUUCCUCCUUCAUCAUCUUUACUCCCAAGCGUGCCCAAGGUCAGCUCCCAUCUGCUCCAUCCCUCACGCCGUCGAGGAUCUGCAUCCCUGCCAGCCACAUCCCCCCUGCUCACGAGGAGUCCCACUUCAAAGUGCCCUGGGAUUCCCUUCAGGUAAAUCUACAAAGAAGACAUUAUCAACCACAUUUAUAAACCAGGAUUCAGGACCCAGAGAUGGUAAGUAAUUUGUCUAAGAUUUCCUUGCAAAUGCCAAGUGUCAAGACUGGAACCCAGGUUUCCAUUCAACUUCCUUAUUCUAUGCUGCUCCCCAGAAUUGAAGUAAAGGGGAAACACUUUGCUUGAGAUUCUAAAAAUCUCACACAGUCAGCAUGCUUUAGGGAUAAAAGUGCCCUAAAAUCUCUCCUAAGAGCUAACUACGAUCUUGUGUUUUCAAGCACAUGACAAUUUUAUAGUCUGGCUGGAUGUAGGCAGCACAAAAGCCCUCACACACGUGCUGGAAAACACUUUUGAAUGAAUAUGGUAAAGUCAGACAAAGACAAAUAUCAUAGGAUACCACUUAUAUGUGGAAUCUAAAAAAAUGGUCCAAAUGAACUUAUUUACAAGACAGACAUAGAGUCACAGAUGUGGAAAACAAACCUAUGGUUACCGGGGGAAAAGCAGGGGGAGAAAUAAACUGGGAGAUUGGGAUUGACAUA